GAGGAUUUUUGGAGCUGGUACACAUAUCCUGAGAGAGGAGAAACCAGAGUGGUAGGAAUUAGUCUAGUGAAGGCAGGGAGAGGAUGCCUAGAACUGCUGAGCUGAGGGUCCCUGGGCUGAAACUUGGAGAAGUGGCUUCAGUACCAGAUGUUUCGGAGGAAGAUCAAGAGAUUUCAUCCUCCAAAUAGGCAAUUAUGGAAUCUGCCCUGGGUGCCUGCAUCCUGUGUGCUGCAGCAAGACCACCAGGAGUCUGCCAGUAGCAGCAAGUGAUCCCGCAUGUGGUACAACAGCUACACUGUAGACCUUUGUUGUGCUCUCCAUGCCAAAGGGGUGGCAUUAAGUGUUAAAAAUUCAGCUUGCUUGGUAUUUUA